rnacentral:rRNA from 1 species
GACGAACGCUGGCGGCGCGCUUAACACCUGCAAGUCGAGCGAAGCGGCGGACGGGUGUGUAACACGUGAGUAACCUGCCUUAGACAUUGAGAUAGCCUCGGGAAAACGGGAUUCAUACCAAAUGGUCUAAGAUGGACUAGCGUCCCAUUAGCUAGUGGGUGAGGUAACGGCCAACCAAGGCGACGAUGGGUAGCCGGCCUGAGAGGGUUAAGGGCCACAUUGGAACUGAGAAACGGUCCAAGCUCUACUGGAGGCAGCAUUGGGGAAUAUGGCACAAUGGAGGGAACUCUGAUGCAGCGACGCCGCGUGGGGGAUGAAGGCGUGCGGGUUGUAAACCUCUUUCGCAAUCGAACGGGUAGGUGGAGAAGAAGCGCCGGCUAACUACGUGCCAGCAGAGGCGGUAAUUC